CAUGUCCUUUUGAUUAUAAUUUAAGGUCUAAUCUGCUCAAUGAAAAUUAAAUAGCCGCAGUAUUUUGACUGUGCAAAGGUAGCAUAAUAAUUAGUUUCUUAAUUAGGAACUGGAAUGAAAGAUUGGACAAGAAAAUAUCUGUCUCUUUUUUAAUAUUUUUGAAUUUUAUUUUUAAGUGAAAAAGCUUAGAUUUUUAUAUAAGACGAGAAGACCCUAUAGAGUUUAAUAUUUUUAUUUAAUUAGUUAUUAGAAUAAUUUUUUAGAUAAAUUUAUUUGAUUGGGGUGAUUUAAAGAUUUACUUAAUUCUUUAAAGUUUUAAUUGAUGAUUAUUAAAUUUUAAAUCUAUAUUUUAUAAAAUUAAAAUAAAUUACCUUAGGGAUAACAGCGUAAUUUUUCUUUAAAGCUCUUAUUAAAAGGAAAGUUUGCGACCUCGAUGUUGGAUUAAAAUUAAUUUUUGGUGCAGUAACUGAAAAAUUAGGUCUGUUCGACCUUUAAAAUUUUACAUGAUCUGAGUUUAGACCGGUGUAAACCAGGUUGGAUUCUAUCUUUAGAAAUAUAAUAUAUUUUAGUACGAAAGGACCAAAUAUAUAUUAAAUUAAUUG
rnacentral:rRNA from 1 species